rnacentral:rRNA from 1 species
ACGCCCAACAGCUAGCCCACCUAAACAAUUUCAACAAACCCCUGUUAAUACCCCCUAAAUACCCCAGUAUUUAAAUUAAACAAACCAUUUUUCCCCCUUAGUAUAGGCGAUAGAAACGGGGCUCCGGCGCAAUAGAGAAAGUACCGCAAGGGAAUGCUGAAAGAGAAGUGAAAUAACCCAGUGAAGCCUGAAAAAGCAGAGAUUUAAACUCGUACCUUUUGCAUCAUGAUUUAGCGAGUGUACCUCAAGCAAAGAGCACUUUAGUUUGACGUCCCGAAACUACGUGAGCUACUCCAAGACAGCCUAUUAAUAGGGCGCACCCGUCUCUGUGGCAAAAGAGUGGGGAGAGCUUUGAGUAGAGGUGACAAACCUACCGAACC